GCAUCAAUGGGGUAGUGGUAACCUGGGUCGUUGCCAUUUCCUCGCAAUACGUCGAGUCGACCCGCCGCGAGUUCGAUUCUCGCUUGAUGCA